CAGCUCAGCCAGGCCCCGAGCGGAGCCAAUAAUGGUCACUACAUAGAUCUGUAAUGAAGAUGUGGGGAACAGAGAAAAGCAUCCAGCGGCUGGGGUUGACAGUUGCCGUGGCAACCAAAUAACACAAUGAGAGAAGGUGCUUUGUUAAUUGACUGCAGAACUGCUGCUGUGUUGUGCUUCACCAACACGUUGACAGUUGCCGCUAUGCCCAAGACAGAGCUUAUUCUCUCUCCUCUCUGUUCACGUCAAUGGAAAAAUUCCACACCACGUCCAGUGCAGUGUCCAAGAAGGGGGAGGGUGUGAUUGUGUGUGUAGAGGGAGGAAGAUGUGAUGGUUUAAAUAACAGUGGAAACAAUGACUUGAGUCUAUCUGGCAAUAAAUCAUGUCAAGUUUGUCCCUUCAUCAUUUCUAGGUAUUUUAUAUUUGACUGUCACUAUAUUCGGUGUUGCUCAGCCUGUUUUCAAGGCCAAUAUUCUGUGUGUUUUUCCAUCUUAUUAGCGAGGCUUCCACGGUAAAAGCCCAAAGAUGAAUCACUGUGUGUGUGUGUCCUCAGUUAUGCAGGCACUGCAGGAGCAGAGAAAUAGGGCAGUGGAAGGAGGACAUGUUGUGCAAUAUUGGAAUCUUUAAUUCUGUAUGAGCCUAAAGGUUGUAUAUUUCAUAACUUUUCACGUAGCUCCAUAGCCUUCUGCUUAUGAUAAAACACUGCGCAUGAUUAGUGUGUACAGUGGAAACAUUUAUCUCCGUCAUGUUGUUGAAUUCAACACGUCAGCCACACUGUUCAUCUGAGGGACUGCAGGUAGUUAUGUCCACUGUCUAAAUGUCAUCUGGGUAACUAUUGGGACACAACUACAACUUGGAAACAUCAGUGUGGACACAGAGAGUUAUCAAUGAGCAAAUCUGGCUACUUGCCCUCCAAUUAAACAGGAAGCUAAAUAAACCACCUCCACCCACACACCCUCGCUGAGCUUAUGAAUAGAAAAAAAUGGUUUGGAAAAGAGAAGAUGAACUGAUAGAAAAGAGGAACAAGACA